UGACAUUUUCUGCACAAGGGCAAAGCUUGUGGGAGUAUUGUUUUGAUUAAAAAAAAGAUAUUCAUAAUGGAACUUCUAUGAUGGGACAUAAGAAUUUACCAUUAGACUAUGGUAAAUUAGACUAAUAUAUUUUUAGUCAAUACUGUCUACAAAGCCUUAGUACGUGGGACUUUGACGGCACAUAAUUUUAGUUCUGGUGUUCAUCCUUAAAAAGAUGAAAUCAACGUAGAUUUCUCGGCAGCCACAUCGAAACUUUAGCCCAAGAGACGUGUAAAAAAGUCCUUGGCCUCUAAAUGAACAAAAUAUGGCAAUACCCCUAGUUGAAUGCUAUGUAACUUAUAACAGUUUAAAAAUAAUUGACCAAGUAAGCAUUUUAUGCAUUUAGUCUUGCAAUUGAAUAAGAAACUAGACUCUUCCAGAUCAACAAGCGGAUAGAAUCGUGAUGUCUUCAUAAUGAUUAUGCUAUUGUUUCUAAGUGAUCACAAACAAUGUAUUUCAUUUCAACAGCUUUAACGAGAGCCCACCGGAUGCGCGUGCCGGCGCUCAAUAAUGCUUUUGACUGAAUGGAAAUAAAAAUAUCAAUGAGAGAUUGAAGAAAUGAGAGCUUGAAGUCCAAGUUUACCAGGAAAAUUAGAAUUCAGCGGAUUUAUUGUAUCUCCAGGAGACCACCGUCAGUCACCUCUCCUUGAUAUGAGCGUUAAUGACGUCAUCCGAUGGCCGUUUUAAGGGGGGGUAGCUCCUUUUCAACGACCGCGGAGCACGUUGAAAAGUGGCAGGCUGACAAUUGAAAAAAAAAUCAUACUGAAAAAUAAAAAAGAAAUAAAUCAUA